UCGUCCUUCUUUACAACGCUGUCUAUCUUGAAAGUGGAGGUGUUGUCUGAAGUAAUGACAAUGACAAUGAACCUCCAUCUCAGCAGAGGUUUGGUGUUACUGUUUUGGUUUAUGCCAGAAGGAUGAAUGACCUCAUUGAAAUGAGCUGAAUGAUUUUGUAUCUAAACAGAUGGCCCUCUUAAGACUUGGCCCUCCAGAAGUGAACCAACUGGUACCAUCAAAGUUAAAAUUCUUGGCUUUGGCCUGGUUCCAAAGGAUCUGACGUCCCAGAAGUGCACUGAUGUCUGCCGUGUUAAAGGCACUGAUAGCUUCUGAUAACAAUGGAUUUACACAAGCCCAGGUACCCAGCAAGUCCCUGAUGGAGUCAAGACCUUUGGUUUUGGUCUUUGAGGCAAGAUCAACCCUGAGAGCAAAAUCUGUUCAACAUCUUUCUCUGGGGGAGUCUUGAGUUUAGCUGUGUCUUCUGCUAUUGGAUGUUUGUGUAUCUAUAACAUUUCUGUGAUUUAAGCCAAUAAAAGCUUUUCUGUU